GGGAAAGCGUGUGUCCCAGAGCUCCACGGAGAGGCUUGGUGAGUGGUCCAAAGCCUGGAGGAGGGGAACUACGGAGGAGCCCGGAGAGAUGGCAGCAACCCCAGACUGUAGCCGAAGGUGGGGAGCCGAAGCACGAACCCCUGCGUAAAUUAUAAUGGAGCUCAUAAGAAGACUACUCAGCUCUUAUCUGAUGUUUUUCAUCUGUAGAUCUCCAAGUGCUUUAUAACAAAAGGAUGUCAUGGCAAGCAAACUAAACCAAGGAGCAAGAUCUGGAUAGGCAAGGUGUGGAAGUCAUUGCAACCCUCUGCAUUUUUGUGUAAAUCUGUGCAUGUGCACACUCUCCUUUAACAUCUGGACACAUAUUUUUUGAACCACUAAACAGCAGCUGAAUUUAAUAAAUUCUCCUUUUGCUCCUUGAAAGUCUCAUUCAUUUUCUGGCAUCAUGCCAGGGCUAGAAACAAAUUUCUGAUUGCUAGGCCU